GCUUAUACUCGACCGUCAGCGGCACGUGCGAUCGCGCGAGCGAUCACGAAGCCCUGACGAGUAGGAGGGUCGCGGCGGUGAGCGCAGAAGGGCUGGCCGCGAGGCCGUCUGGAGCCGCCGUCGGUGCAGAUCUUGGUGGUAGUAGCAAAUACUCCAGCGAGGCCCUGGAGGACUGACGUGGAGAAGGGUUUCGUGUGAACAGCCGUUGCACACGAGUCAGUCGAUCCUAAGCCCUAGGCGAAAGCCGAUGUCGAUGCGGUGUAGCUUUAUUUAGUAAAUAUAAAAUUACUUAAUUUACGCACACACCCGUCGGGCGAAAGGGAAU
rnacentral:rRNA from 1 species